CUGCCCCCGACCCAGCCGCUUUUUCUUGUUGAUCGAGUCGUUCAUUCACCACCCACCAGCGAGAGGUAGCAACAGCAAGCCCCGCUUCUUCUUCUCUUAUCCUCAAGAACUGAGGCCGCUGGUCCUCCUCAUCUACUCUCCAUCCACCUCACAUCACCACCCAUCUCUCCUCUUCCUAUCUAUCCAACGCACCCCACCCCCGCGAACUCGCCGCCCCGUGCUCCGGAUCCGGCUGAUCCCGCGCCGCUCAUCCUCGCGCGCCUCUGCUCGCAUUGACUGUGAGGAGGAGGCCAGCGUCUCGGCCAGCGGCCAAUGUGAAGCCAAUCGCUGACACGCCGUUCCAGACCACCAGAUUCGGAGUGCCGCCGCUGGAUCCUGUCCGCGUCACGCCACGCCAUUGCAGACCACCAGAUACCCGCCGCUGGAUCCUGUCCGCGUCACGCCCGCGUCAACGGCGGCUGUCAGAACACCCUCUCCUUCUCGAGGACUCCGGUUCUCUUCGUUGCCUUCCCAUCAUGAUGGGUUAUUUCUUUUUUUGCCUCUGAUUCUCGUGAGAAUCUGAGGGACUCGCCCGCGGAUCUUUCUUCACUCCUCAUUGUUCUCUCUCAUGUAUUUGCAGUAUGUUUGUUGUUUUUUGAGAAGUCUGAUUAAUAUUACGGAUAAUCUGCAAUUGUAUAUAAGCUAAUGAGAAUCAGUUUAGAGGAUCGAUGCGUGACAAAAAAAUCGAACGUAAACGCACGACCAGACA